CGGACGGGUGAGUAACACGUGGAUAACCUACCUAUAAGACUGGGAGUAACUUCGGGAAACCGGAGCUAAUACCGGAUAAUAUAUUGAACCGCAUGGUUCAAUAGUGAAAGACGGUUUUGCUGUCACUUAUAGAUGGAUCCGCGUCGCAUUAGCUAGUUGGUAAGGUAACGGCUUACCAAGGCAACGAUGCGUAGCCGAUCUGAGAGGGUGAUCGGCCACACUGGAACUGAGACACGGUCCAG
rnacentral:rRNA from 1 species